rnacentral:lncRNA from 1 species
AGUAAUCAAAUUAUCUCAAAUCAAUAAAAGUAUAUCAAUAUUGUUGAAAUAAGGAACUACAUUGGGCAUGGCGGUGUAUACUCAUAAUCUCAGCACUCUCGGAGGCUGAGGCAGGAGGACCCGAAGUUCUACCUCAGCCUGGGCAACUUAGCUACUUAAUGAGAUCUCUGUUUGCAAAAAAAAAAAUUGUGAAAAAAAAGGACUGAUGAUGUGACUCCACGUGAAGGUCCUGAGGUCAACCUCUGGUACUGAAAAGAAAAAAGAAAAGGAACUAAAAAUCCCUGACUCUUAAGUUUUCAAGAAUCCCUGAUUAUGACGCGGGCUGGGCAGCAGAUAGAGGAUCAGGGUCAGUUCUGGGAUGAGGAAGAAAAUCCCCCAGGUGAGCCCAGCUUUCCAGUUGCUUAAAAAUUCUAGAUAUGCCAUCCAAAAGAAGGCCUUGCAAUUGAGGAAGAGGACUUCAAGGCAUGGAAAAGAGGAGUCUGGAGGGGCCCAAGAG